GACGAACGCUGGCGGCGUGCUUAACACAUGCAAGUCGUACGGUAAGGCCCUUUCGGGGGUACACGAGUGGCGCACGGGUGAGUAACACGUGAGUAACCUGCCCACAACUUUGGGAUAACGCUAGGAAACUGGUGCUAAUACUGGAUAUGUUCUCCUGCUGCAUGGUGGGGGUUGGAAAGCUCCGGCGGUUGUGGAUGGACUCGCGGCCUAUCAGCUUGUUGGUGGGGUAGUGGCCUACCAAGGCGGCGACGGGUAGCCGGCCUGAGAGGGUGACCGGCCACAUUGGGACUGAGAUACGGCCCAGACUCCUACUGGAGGCAGCAGUGGGGAAGAUUGAACAAUGGGCGCAAGCCUGAUGCAGCAACGCCGCGUGCGGGAUGACGGCCUUCGGGUUGUAAACCGCUUUCAGCAGGGACGAAGCUUUUUGUGACGGUACCUGCAGAAGAAGCACCGGCUAACUACGUG
rnacentral:rRNA from 1 species